CCCAUACGACCGUACCGCAAACCGACACUGGUGCGCGAGAUGAGUAUUCUAAGGCGCUUGAGAGAACUCAGGAGAAGGAACUCGGCAAAUUGACACCGUAACUUCGGAAGAAGGUGUGCCCUAUUAGUGUGUAGUGAACAACGAAGCAUGAAUGGGUUGCAAAAAAUCGGUGGCUGCGACUGUUUAUUAAAAACACAGCACUCUGCAAACACGAAAGUGGACGUAUAGGGUGUGACGCCUGCCCGGUGCUGGAAGAUUAAAUGAUGGGGUGCAAGCUCUUGAUUGAAGUCCCAGUAAACGGCGGCCGUAACUAUAACGGUCCUAAGGUAGCGAAAUUCCUUGUCGGGUAAGUUCCGACCUGCACGAAUGGCGUAACGAUGGCCACACUGUCUCUUCCUGAGACUCAGCGAAGUUGAAAUGUUUGUGAUGAUGCAAUCUCCCCGCGGAAAGACGGAAAGACCCCAUGAACCUUUACUGUAGCUUUGUAUUGGACUUUGAACAGAUCUGUGUAGGAUAGGUGGGAGGCUUUGAAGCAGGGUCGCUAGAUCUUGUGGAGCCAACGUUGAAAUACCACCCUGGUGUGUUUGAGGUUCUAACCUAGGUCCAUUAUCUGGAUCGGGGACAGUGCAUGGUAGGCAGUUUGACUGGGGCGGUCUCCUCCCAAAGCGUAACGGAGGAGUUCGAAGGUACGCUAGUUACGGUCGGACAUCGUGACGAUAGUGCAAUGGCAUAAGCGUGCUUAACUGCGAGACUGACAAGUCGAGCAGAUGCGAAAGCAGGACAUAGUGAUCCGGUGGUUCUGUAUGGAAGGGCCAUCGCUCAACGGAUAAAAGGUACUCUGGGGAUAACAGGCUGAUACCGCCCAAGAGCUCAUAUCGACGGCGGUGUUUGGCACCUCGAUGUCGGCUCAUCUCAUCCUGGGGCUGUAGCCGGUCCCAAGGGUAUGGCUGUUCGCCAUUUAAAGAGGUACGUGAGCUGGGUUUAAAACGUCGUGAGACAGUUUGGUCCCUAUCUUCCGUGGGCGCUGCAGAUUUGAGGAAGCCUGCUCCUAGUACGAGAGGACCGGAGUGGACACACCUCUGGUGUAUCGGUUGUCACGCCAGUGGCAUUGCCGAGUAGCUAAGUGUGGAAGAGAUAACCGCUGAAAGCAUCUAAGCGGGAAACUCGUUUCAAGAUGAGAUCUGCCGGGGCCUUGAGCCCCCUAAAGAGUCGUUCAAGACCAGGACGUUGAUAGGUCAGGUGUGGAAGCG
rnacentral:rRNA from 1 species